ACCAUUUAAAUCUCUCUCGGAGAAGGCGACAUAAAUAUAUUUGUCUAUUUACUCUCAGAUUCGAAAAACGAAUUAACAUAAAAGUAGACAUCAUGCAAGACUAGAAAUCCCUGCAAGCUCCUGCACAUCAUCUCUGACACCUUUGUUAACAGGUAUUAUAUCAAUUUAAAACUUGCACAGGACAGUUCACAGAAUUGUCCACUUAAAAUACAUUUUGCCAAUUUAUUCAUUACUACAUGGUAGUUAAGAGAUGAUCUAGAUAGAGACUGCUUCAAUUAGGCAGUCUCGUCCAGAUCAUCAUGGCAUUUGUAGUUCUUUAUAAUAGCCACAUGAGCAGUUUCAUUUGACUAGGCAAGUCAGUAAGAACAAAUUCCUUUUUUCAAUGACAGCUUAGGAACAGUGGGUUAACUGCCUUGCUCAAGGGCAGAACAACCUUUCAGUUACUAGUUCAACGCUCUAACCACUAGGCUACCUGUCACCUCAGGUAGGUAGUUAAUUAGCAUUUCAUUUUGGGGGAUUAAAUACAGGCUAAUUUAGUGAUAAAAGUCACCUUGUCCUAUGGAGAUUUACACGGUUAUCAAAAUGGCAGUCUACACGAAACACAGCCUUUAUUUUAAGUGUUUCUAAAAAUUAAAAAAAGAACGGUGUUUGACCGCUAGGUUUUUAUGGGUAUUGUGACUCAUACUGUGGUACUCUAUUUGGAUACAUUCAGGAAGUUCAUGUAAAGGACUGCACCCUGCUUGCUUAUCAAGUACCGCUUAAAGUGCCAGGGCCCUCAUUUAUCAAUGUUGCGUAGAAAAGCUUCUAAAUUAACUGUACGAAGAAAAUGUAGAAUGUUCGCAACUACAACAAAGUUUGUAUUUAUCAAUUGCUCGUACGCUUGAUUUACACACACGUGUAUGUAUUUUGCCUUGAUAAAUCAGACACGUUCUAAAACACUGCUAGUGCACGUGAAGUCUAAUUUACAUAAAUAACCGCCCCAAAUGACCAAUUAUGGUCAUAAACCUUCCCUUUAAUGCUGCAAGAAAUGUCACUCAUUUCUUUCCGCCAACGUGGAGAAAUCAAAGAAAAUAAACUUUUUCGCUGAAAUAGAAAUAGAACUUUUGAUCACCGAAGUGGAAGCAAAACAAGACAUACUUUUUGGAGCCCUCAGCAAUGGCUUGACAAAUAAGAUAAAAAAUAUUGCUUGGGAGCAGGUUAGAGCUGUGGUAAAUUCUGCCUCUGAGUGCAGAACAGUUAAUAAAAUAAAAUAAAUGGUUUGAUUGGAAAACGUAUGCAAAAAAAAAAAGAUCCACAAAAGGGAUAGAAGUGCAACAGGAGGAGUGCAGAGUGACUCUUCACUGUCUACAAUGGACCAGCGCAUUGGCAGCAUAAUUGAAGAGACCUGUGUCUGGCAUCAUUUGAUGGUGAUACUGAGGACCCUCUCCCAGACCCUGAAGGAAUAGCAGGCACCAACUGAUGAUGUGGGUGAUUUGCCUGACCCCCCCAGCCAUCCCCAGGCCUACAAGAAGUGUGUCUGCUUUGGCGAGCACUUCAGCUGUGCGGCAUGUUUUGACUGACGCAGUACUGAAACAACAAGAGAUCAACACAUCAAUUAUUGUACUCCAACAGCAGCUGGAGGAUGUAUGCAACGGCCUGAGAGAGUAAUCAAUCAUUGAAAUAACUUGUUGAUUGUGUUAAGCAUGUGAGACAAAUUCUGGCGCAAUGUAAACGUGUUUUCCUUGUCGAUUUGGUUACAAUAUUUGGAAGAACAGAUACCUUUAAACCGUUGUAUGAUAUUGACUCUUGUCUUCAGUUCCAGAGCUAUGGGUGGUGGGAAACACUCCGUCAGUCAUGGGCUCAUCGGAUCUGGGUGGAUCAUUCAGUGGAAUGCCAUUUUUGAAUGUAAUGUUGUGGCGCACACUGCAAGCCUUGACAAUGUAGCAAACCUAAAAAGGAAUUUGCGCAUUGUAUUACAUUCACGCAAUGACAUUUGAAGAUGUCAUUCCAAAGGCAAGCCUUGCUAGGCUGGUAUUGCAGUAUGCCUCCUGACCCAGACAAGCACAGCCAACGCCCUUUCAACAGGCCUAUGGUGCGCACCACUGUUCUUGUGCGUGCGUGGCCUUGGUUGUACCUUGCAUCUUGUUGGUUUGUGAGGGGAGUCAUCAGCUAUGGUUUUUAAUGGGUAGCCCCGGUCUCCUGCAGUUAUGAACACAACAUUCAGUUUCCCAUUAGAGGUCGAACAUGGAAAAUAAAACACUAGUCACUUACCAAUAAGCCAUCCAUACUCAACAACUCCCGUCUGGAGGUUAAGGCCAACUGAACUGUUGUUCUGCGCAAUGACUGAAUCAUGUGUCCCACCUGGCCACUACAAAGCCAAAUGUGAGUCACAGAUAACCUGCACAUUGACAGAAUGGAAACCUUUUCUGUUGACGAAGUUGAUUUUCUUCACUGAUGGUGCUUUUAUUGCGAUGUGGGUGCAGUCAAUUGUUCCAAUGACAUUGGGAAAUCCCUUUUCACUCUGGCCUGUUGCACAGCAGUGUACGGAAACAAUGUAUUGUGGGGUCAAUGAAAUAAUGCCAUGAAGGACUGCAGGCAAUAUUCGGCUCAUGGUUGGUUGUGAAAUGCCAGACCAAUCCGCAGUCUCCCGUUGGAAUGUUCCAGUGGCCAAAACUUCCAGGGUGGAGAGGACUUGGGUUUGCACUGGGAUUGCAUUGGUGCGUUACGUCUCGCUUUCUAAUACUGGAGAGAGUUGGUUGCAGAGAUACAAUAAAAUAUGCCUUGGAAAACUUAAUCUACUAAUAAGCCAAGCGUCGCUCUCAGCAAAAAAUUCUGCACGCUCAUUGAAAACAGCUCCCUGUGUAAUGCAGCUUGUGCCAGAUUGACUUUUCUACCACAAGGUGCUGUGCGUACACAUGGUCAGAGUUGUGCUUAAAUUUACGCACAUUCUCAAGUAUAAGUACAAAUGGAUAAAUCCCACACUUUGCUUAGAAAUGAUCGCACGCAUGCUUUACGAACAUUUCUGUUCGCACUCAACAUUGAUAAAUGAGUGCCCAGGAUGAUGUCUUUGAAUUUAGAAAACUGAAUCUGAAUGCAUUUGAGAAGUUGAAUAGAGUGCAUUCGGAAAGUAUUCAGAGCUCUAGAGUGCCUCUGUGGCGAUGGGAGAAACUUCCAGAAGGACAACCAUCUCUGCAGCACUCCACCAAUCAGGGCUUUGUGGUACAGUGGCCAGAUGGAAGUCACUCCUCAGUAAAAGGAACAUGAUAUCCUGCUUGGAGUUUGCCUAAAGACUCAGACCAUGAGAAACCAGAUCCUCUGGUCUGAUGAAACCAAGAUUGAACUUUUGGGCCUGAAUGCCAAGCGUCACGUUUGGAGGAAAUCUGGCACCCUCUCUAUGGUGAAGCAUGGUGGUGGCAGCAUUAUGCUGUAGAGAUGUUUUUCUGCAGUAGGGACUGGGAGACUAGUCAGGAUCGAGGGAAAGAUGAACAAAGUACAAACAGAUCCUUGAUGAAAACCUGCUCCAUAGUGCUCAGGACCUCAGACUGGGGGGAAGGAUAACCUUCCAACAGGACAACGACCCGAAGCACACAGCCAAGACAACGCAGGAGUGGCUUCAGGACAAAUCUCUGAAUGUCCUUGAGUGACCCUGCCAGAGCCUGGACUUGAACCCGAUCGAACAUCUGAAGAGACCUGAAAAUAGCUGUGCAGCGACGCUCCCCAACCAACCUGACAGCGCUUGAGAGGAUCUGUAGAGAAGAAUGGGAGAAAUUCCCCAAAUACUGGUGUGCCAAGAAGAGUCAAGACUGUAAUCACUGCCAAAGGUGCUUGAACAAAGUACUGAGUUAAGGGUCUGAAUACUUAUGUAAAUGUGAUAUUUCAGUUUUGUAUUUGCAAAACAAUCUUGACCUGUUUUUGCUUUGUCAUAAUGGGGUAUUGUGUGUAGAUUGAUGAGGGGGAAAAACAAUUCAAUCUAUUUUAGAAUACGGAUGUAGCAUAACAAGAUGUGGAAAAAGUUAAGUGGUCUGAAUACUUUCUGAAUGAUCAAUGUUUCUUUUGAAAUAGUAUUUAAAUAGGAAUAGUUUCACCAUAUUAAAACGAGAGUUCAGUUCAUAUAACAUGGUUGACCUUAGAAUGAGGGUCAUGUUUAUUUAUUUUUUACCUUAAAAUUAAUAACUAAUCAUAUGAAAUACGUAAACUCCAGAAAUUACUUUGUCAAAGCAUUGUAAAGGGCUUAACAACGAUGGUGAAAACCUUUGGGUUUAAGUGGGUUAAAAUAUUCCUAGAAGACACAGAGGGUGCAUAUAGUGUCUUUAUUGAUAUAAAAACGUUCUAUAUUAAUGGGUACUUCGUUUAAUAUAACAUACUUUUAAAAUGUAAAAUUGGUGCACAAUUUCUACUUAAAAUAUCAAAGGGAUGCAAAAGGGACUCAUUUCAUGGAACGACCAGUACACAAUAGCAACAUUUGUGUCUAUUGUCGAAAAACAAACCUUCAUAAUUGCAAGUGUGUGCAGUAAAAUGUAAUUAAAAUCAUCCCAGAACCAUUGAGCACAUAACAUAAGCCAGCAUCUCUUCAUAUUUAUUUUGGGUUGGACAAAUGGAACGAAUAGAUAGAUAUAGAUCUGUAUUAUUUACAUUAUGCAACCGAAAACAAAAGUUAAUAAUGUGUAGAAAUAUCCAUGAAUAAAAAAUAAAAUAAUUAUAUUAAAAACUCACACACAUCAUACUCAACAUAUUAUGAUAGAAAUUAGUGCUGUGAAUGAAAGUGAAAUGUACAAGUAAAAUUGAAGUCUGUUUCACCACAAGGUGGCACAAGUUCAUUACGGUUGAUGUGAAUUUCUUGAGGCUGAGGGUGUAACAGUAUAGCUUCCGUUCCUCUCGCCCCUUCCAAGGCUCGAACCAGGGACCCUCUGCACACAUCAACAACUGACACCCACAAAACACCGUAACCCAUCGCUCCAUAAAAGCCGCGGCCCUUGUCUGCAAGGGGAACAACUACUUCAAGGUCUCAGAGCGAGUGACGUCGCCGAUUGAAACGCUAUUAGCGCGCACCCCACUAACCAGCAAGCCAUUUCACAUCGGUUACAAGAGCAUAUGAGCUUCUUUGUUUCUAGACUCUGUCAUAUCCUGCUGCUGAGCUCUGGAAAUUAUUGGCCACAUUCCCAGCAGCGCAGGGUCAUGGCUGGAAGGGAUCCAGCUUUUGUCAAAUUAACUGUAAAAGUAUUUUUUAAAGCAUUUUACCUAACUUAAUUCUCCUAACCUGCUAUGUUAAUUAUACUAACCUGCUGCGUAAGUUCUAACCUGCUACGAAAAGUCAAAUCGGACUUUAAUUUGACAAAAGCUGGAUCCCUUUUAGUCAUGACAGCAGCGCAGCCUCCUGGGGCUGAUUUAGCCAAUGUUCCCACCCAGGAAUCCUGGACGUCUGACAGCAACCAGGCCAGACUCUCUUUCAAGUCCACACUCCGUCAGCCUCUCCCGGGCCGUGGCCCAGAGUCCGCCCUCCCUCCCAAGGCUGUCUCCCAUCUUUAUGGAGCGCCCAGAAAAACAGCCACUCUCCCUCCUAAAUAACCAUUUCUUAAAACUGCCUGCCACACCCGAUUUUCUUUCAUUCCCUCCCUGACCUCUCCUGCCCCUUAUGGUCACCCCUAACAUUUCACACAACAGAAAUCUUUCUCAUGUUAGUCUGGAAGCAGUUAAAAACCAUGCUGUUAGAUGUGAAGGCCAAGGUUAAAUGGGGAAAGUUUAAUGGCAACAUUUCCAUAGAGCUUUUUCAUGUUGAAACAAAUAUUUUUUUAGACUUUGUUAGAGCAUGUUUGGAUUAAAUAUCAGUUUUCAAUUACACCUCAUGCAGUCAUGUGAGAUUUUGAAAGAUGGCAAUAGGCCUGGAAAGUGAAACGUAU